UACGUAGGGGGCAAGCGUUGUCCGGAAUCAUUGGGCGUAAAGCGCGUGUAGGCGGUCCGGUAAGUCCGCUGUGAAAGUCCGGGGCUCAACCCUGGGAUGCCGGUCGAUACUGCCGGACUAGAGUUCGGAAGAGGCGAGUGGAAUUCCCGGUGUAGCGGUGAAAUGCGCAGAUAUCGGGAGGAACACCAAUGGCGAAGGCAGCUCGCUGGGACGUUACUGACGCUGAGACGCGAAAGCGUGGGGAGCAAACAGG
rnacentral:rRNA from 1 species